CCCUACACGACGCCCGUUACACCAGAGGGCUCUUUACAGAAACCCGUAACUAUUCAAAGUUUCAUAUUACAAUGAAAAUCUUUGACAGGAGACGACACCGUGCUAUUUUUAAUAUCUAAGAUUUUAUUUUUGUGUUACCCACAUUAGGAAUUCUAAACAUUUUUGAAUAUCAUAUCAAAAAUUGACCGCUCCAGCGGGGUUCGAACCCGCGUCUCCGACGUACCGUGUCGGCGCUCUAGCCAAUUAAGCUAUGGAACGAUACACCCGCUCGAGCGAAAUUUUCGAUAUGAU
rnacentral:tRNA from 1 species